GUCUGGUGCCAGCAGCCGCGGUAAUUCCAGCUCCAAUAGCGUAUAUUAAACUUGUUGCAGUUAAAAAGCUCGUAGUUGUAUUUUUGCGUUAGCGGUUUGACCAUUUGGUUGGUUAUUUCGUUUUCGCUUUUGGGAAUUUCCCUUUUUACUUUGAGAAAAUUAGAGUGUUUCAAGCAGACUUUUGUCUUGAAUACUUCAGCAUGGAAUAAUAGAGUAGGACUUUGGUUCUAUUUUGUUGGUUAUUGAACCUUAGUAAUGGUUAAUAGGAACGGUUGGGGGCAUUCGUAUUUAACUGUCAGAGGUGAAAUUCUUAGAUUUGUUAAAGACGAACUACUGCGAAAGCAUUUGCCAAGGACGUUUCCAUUAAUCAAGAACGAAAGUUAGGGGAUCGAAGACGAUCAGAU
rnacentral:rRNA from 1 species